rnacentral:lncRNA from 1 species
CUGUCCCUGAAUUUGCAUGCAGUGCUCAUGCAGUGAUGGAGGAUGUUGUGAUGGAGGAUGCAGUGCCCAUGAAGGCAGAUGCAGUGAUCCUGCAGUGAUUGCAGUGCUCCUGCAGUGCCACCUCCGCUGGAACCAGAGUCACUGCAUUGGUUGCAGUGCCUGUUGCACUGUUCCAGAACGUGGCUGCAGUGCCGAUACAAUGGCUGCAGUGUCACUGAAUGUAGAUGCGGUAUGUUAUGAUGGAUGAUGCAUUGCCCAUGAAGGUGCAUGCAGUGUUAAUGCACUGGUUGUCGUGCCCCAUGCUGUGUCCCUGAUUGUGGAUGCAGUGCCCAUGAAUGUGGAUGCGGUGAUCCUGGAGCUGUUGCAGUGUCCCCUUCAGGUUCCCUGAAUCUGGAUGCAGUGCUCAUGCAGUGGUUGCAGUGUCGCACAUGUGGAUGCGGUAUGUUGUCACGGUAGGUACAGUGCCCAGGGCUGUGAAUGCAGUGAGACUGCAGUGAUUGCAGUGGGCCUGCAGUGCCACUUCAACUGUAUACUGUGUCCCUGCAGUGGUUGCACUGCUGCCUGCAUUGUCAGGGAAUGCGGAUGCAGUGCCCAGGCAGUGGAUGUAGUGUCACACAAGAGGGGUACAGUAUGUUGUGACACAGGAUGCAGUGCCCAUGAAGGUGGAUGCAGUGAUCCGGCAGUGGAUUCCAUGCACACUGUAGUGUUCCUGAAUGAGGAUGCAGUGAACAUGAAUUGGAUGCAGUGAAAAUUCAGUGAUUGCAGUGCACCUGCAGUGCCCCUUCACCUGAAUGUUGUGUUGCUGCAGUGGUUGCAGAGCCCACUGCACUGUUUCUGAAUGUGGAUGCAGGGCCCAUGCAGCCUCUGCAGUGUGACCCAAGGUGGAUGCAGUAUGUUGUGAAGUAGGAUGCAGUACCCAUGAAGGAGGAUGCAGUGAUCCUGCAUUCAUUGCAGUGCACCUGCAGUGUCAAUACAUCUGGAUGCAGUGUCCCCGAAUUUGGAUUCAGUGCUCAUGCAGUGAUGAUGUAUGUUGUGAUGGAGGAUGCAGUGCCCAUGAAGGCAGAUGCAGUGAUCCUGCAGUGAUUGCAGUCCAUCUGCAGUUCCACUUCAGGUGAAUCCAGUGUCCCUGCAGUGGUUUUUGUGCCCAUUGCACUGUCCUUGAACGUGGAUGCAGUGCCCAUGCAAUGGCUGCAGUGUCACUGACGCUAGAUGCAGUAUGUUGUGACAGAGGAUGCAGUGGCCAUGAAGGUGGAUGAAGUGAUCCUGCAGUGGUUGAAGUGCCCCCUGCAGGGUCCCUGAAUGAGAAUGCCAUGCCCUUGCAGUGGAUUCAGUGCCCCACAAGAUGGAUGCAGUAUGUUAUGACGGAUGAUGCAUUGCCCAUGAAGGUGCAUGCAGUGUUCCUGCACUGGUUGUCGUGCGCCCUUCUGUGUCCCUGAUUUUGGAUGCAGUGCCCAUGCAAUGGAUGCAGUGUCCCACAAGGCAGAUGCAGUACGUUGUAAUGGAGGAUGCAGUGCCCAUUCAGUGGCGGCAGGGUUGCACAAGGUGGAUGCAGCAUGUUGUGACGGAAGAUGCAGUGCCCACGACUGUGAAUGCAGUGAGACUGAAGUGAUUGCAUUGCGCAUGCAGUGUCCCUGAAUGUGGAUGCAGUGAACAUUAAGUGGAUGUAGUGAACAUUCAGUGAUUGUGGUGCACGUGCAGUGCCACUGCAGCUGCAUACAGUGUCCCUGCAGUGGUUGCAGUGCUGCCAGCAUUGUCUGGGAAUGUGGAUGCAGUGCCAAGGCAGUGUAUGCAGUGUCACAUAAGUUGGAUGCAGUAUGUUGUGACACAGGAUGCACUGCCCAUGAAGGUGUAUGCAGUGAUCCUGCAGUGGUUUCCCUGCACAUUGCAGUGUCCCUGAAUGUGGAUGCAGUGAACAAGCAGUGGAUGCACUAAACAUUCAGUGAUUGCAGUGCACCUGCAGUGCCACUUCCACUGAAUGACGUGUUGCUGCAGUGGUUGCAGAGCCCACUGCAGUGUCUCUGAAUUUGGAUGCAGGGCUCAUGCAGCCUCUGAGGUGUGACCCAAGGUGGAUGCAGUAUGUUGUGAAGUAGGAUGCAGUACCCAUGAAGGAGGAUGCAGUGAUCCUGCAUUCAUUGCAGUGCACCUGCAGUGUCAAUACAUCUGGAUGCAGUGUCCCCGAAUUUGGAUUCAGUGAUCAUGCAGUGAUGAUGUAUGUUGUGAUGGAGGAUGCAGUGCCCAUGAAGGCAGAUGCAGUGAUCCUGCAGUGAUUGCAGUCCAUCUGCAGUUCCACUUCAGGUGAAUCCAGUGUCCCUGCAGUGGUUUUUGUGCCCAUUGCACUGUCCUUGAACGUGGAUGCAGUGCCCAUGCAAUGGCUGCAGUGUCACUGACGCUAGAUGCAGUAUGUUGUGACAGAGGAUGCAGUGGCCAUGAAGGUGGAUGAAGUGAUCCUGCAGUGGUUGAAGUGCCCCCUGCAGGGUCCCUGAAUGAGAAUGCCAUGCCCUUGCAGUGGAUUCAGUGCCCAAAAUGGUGGAUGCAGUAUAUUAUGACGGAUGAUGCAUUGCCCAUGAAGGUGCAUGCAGUGUUCCUGCACUGGUUGUCGUGCACCCUUCUGUGUCCCUGAUUGUGGAUGCAUUGCCCAUGCAGUGGAUGCAGUGUCCCACAAGGUGGAUGCAGUAUGUUAUGAUGGAUGAUGCAUUGCGCAUGAAUGACGAUGCAGUCAUUCUCCAGUGAUUGCAGAGCACCUGCAUUGCCACUUCAACCGGCUGCAGUGUGCCUGCAGUGGUUGCAGUGCCCCCUUCUGUGUCUCCGAAUAUGAAUGCAGUGCCCAUGCAGUGGAUGCAGAGUAGCAAAAGAUGGAUGUGGUAUGUUGUGACAGAGGAUGCAGUGCCCAUGAAUGUGGAUGCAGUGAUCCGGCAGUGCUUGCAGUGCACCCUCCUAUGUCCCUGAAUGUGCAUGCUCUGAACAUGCAGUGGAUGCAGUGAUUAUGCAGUGAUUGCAGUGCACCUGCAUUUUUACAUCAGUUGGAAGCAAUGGCCCUGCAAUGUAUGCAGUGCUGCCUUCUGUGUUCCUGAAGGUGAGUGCAGUGCCCAUGUAGUGGAUGCAGUGUACCUAAAGCUUUACUCAGUAUGAUGUGACGGAGGGAGCAGUGCCCACGAGCUGGAUGCAGUGAGCCGGCAGUCACUAUAAUAUGUCUUCAGUGCCACUUCAACUGGAUGCAGUCUCCCUGCAGUGGUUGCAGUGCCCCCUGCAUUGUACCUGAAUGUGUAUGCAGUGCCCAUGCAGUGUAUGCAGCGUCCCACAAUGUGAAUGUAAUAUGUUGUGACGGAGGAUGCGGUGCCCGUGAAGGUGGAUGCAGUGAUCCAGCAAUGGCUACAGAGACCCCUGAAAUUUACCCGAAUGUGGAUGCAUUACUCAUGCAGUGGAUGCAGUGUGCCUCAACGUGGAUGCCUUAUGUUGUGAUGGAGGAUCCAUUGAUCAUGAAGGAGGAUGCAGUGAUCCUGCAGUCAUUGCCAUGCACCUGCAAUGCCAUUUCAGCUGACUGCAGUGUCCCUGCAGUUGUUGCAGUGCUCCGUUCUGUGUCCCUGAAUGUGGAUGCAGUGCCUGUGCAGUGGAUGCAGAGUACCAAAAUUUGGUUGCUGUAUGUUGGAACAGAGGAUGCAGUGCCCACGAGUUGGAUGCAGUGAGCCGGUAGUCAUUACAAUAUGCCUUCAGUGCCACUUCAGCUGGAUGCAUUGUCCCUGCAGUGGUUGCAAUGCCCCCUGCAUUGUCCUGGAAUGUGGAUGCAGUAGUCAUGCAGUGGACGCAGUGUCCCACAAGGUGGAUGCAGUGUUUUAUGACGGAGGAUGCAGUGCCCAUGAAGUUGGAUGUUGUGUCCCCACUGUGGUUGCACUGCCCCAGGAAUUGUCCGAGAAUGUGGAUGCAGAGCCCAGCCAUUGGAUGCAGUGUCCCACAAGGUGCAUGCAGUUUGUUGUGAUGGAGGAUGCAGUCCCCAUGAAGGUGCAUGCAGUUGUCCCUGCAGUGCAGGCAGUGCCAAUGGCAUCAUCCUGGAAUAUUGAUGCAGUGCCAAUGCAGUUUAUGCAGUGAAUCUUCAAUGAUUAAAGUGCGCCUGCAGUGCCACUUCAGCUGGAUGCAGUGUAGCUGCAGUGGUUGCAGUGCCCCGUUCUGUGUCCCUGAAUGUGGAUGCAGUGCCCAUGCAGUGGAUGCCAAGUACCAUAAGUUGGUUGCCGUAUGUUGUGUCAGAGGAUGCAGUGCCCACGAGUUGGAUGCAGUGAUCCAGCAGUGAUUGCAGUACGCCUGCAUUUCCUCAGCAGCUGGAAGCAGUGUCCCUUCAGAGGUUGCAGUGCCACCUUCGGUGUCCCUGAAGGUGAAUGCAGUGCCCAUGCACUGGAUGCAGUGUACACAAAGGUUUAUGCAGUAUGUUGUGACGGAGGAUGCAGUGCCAUUGAAGGUGAAUGCUUUGUCCCUGCAGUGGUUGCAGUGUGCACUGCAUUGUCCGAGAAGGUGGAUGCAUUGCCCAUGCAUUGGAUGCACUGUCCCACAAGGCGGAUGCAGUAUGUUUUCUCGGAGGAUGCAGUGCCCAUGAAGGGGGAUACAGUGUCCCUCCAGUGGUUGCAGUGACCCGGCAUUGUCCUGAAAUGUUGGUGCAGUGCCUAUGCAGUGGAUGCAGUGAUUCUUCAGUGAUUGAGUGCACCUGCAGUGACACUUCAGCUGGAUGCAGUGUAGCUGCCGUGGUUGCAGAGCCCCCAGCCACGUCCAUGAAUUUGGAUGCUGUGCUCAUGCAGGUUCUGCAGUGUGACUCAAGGUGGAUGCAGUAUGUUGUGAAGCAGGAUUCAGAGCUCAUGAAGGACGAUGCAGUGAUCCUGCAGUCAUUGCAGUGCACGUGCAGUUCCACUUCAUAUGUAUGCAGUGUCCCUCCAGUGUUUGCAGUGCACCCUGCUGUGUCCCUGAAUGUGGAUGCUGUGAACAUGCAGUUGAUGCAGUGUUCCUGCAGUGAUUGCACUCCACCUUCAUUUCCUCAUAGGCUGCAAGCAGUGUUUAUGCAGUGGUUGCAGUGCCGCCUUCAGUAUCCCUGAAGGUGAAUGCAGUGCCCAUGCAGUGGAGGCAGUGUCCCUAAAUGUUUAUGCAGUAUGUUGUGACGGAGGAUGCAGUGCACAUGAAGGCAGAGACAGUGUUCCUGCAGUGGUUUCAGGGACCCCAGCAUUGUGCUGGAAUGAGGAUGCAGGGGUCAUGCAGUGGAUGCAGUGUAUCACAAUGCGGAUACACUAUGUUUUGACAGAGGAUGCAUUGCCCAUGAAGCUGGAUGCGGUGAACCUGCAGUGGUUGCAGUGCCCCCUACAUUUUCCCUGAAUGUAGAUGCAGUGCCCAUGCAGUGCAUGCAGUGUCCCACAAGGUGGAUGUGGUAUGUUGUGACAGAGGAUGCAGUGCCAACGAAGGUGCAUGCAGUGAGCCUUCAUUGAUUGCAGUGCACCUGCGUUUCCACAUCAGCUGGACAGUGUUGCUGCAGUGGUUCCAGUGCCGCCUUCUGUGUCCCUGAAUGUGAAUGCAGUGCUCAAGCAGUGAAUGCAGUGUACCUAAAGGUUUAUGCAGUUUUGUGACGGGGGAUACAGUGCCCAUGAAGGUGGAUGUGGUGAACCUGUGUUGUUGCUGUGCCCCCUAGAGUUUCCCUGAAUGUGGAUGCAGUGCCCAUGCAGUGCAUGCUGUGUCCCACAAGGUGGAGGCAGUCUGUUGGGACGGAGCAUGCAGUACCCCUGAAGGUGGAUUCCGGGAGCCUGCAGUGAUUGCAGUGCACUUGCAGUGCCACUUCAGCUGGCUGCAGUGUCCCUGCAGUGGUUGCAGUGCCCCCUGCAUUGUCCUGGAAUGUGGAUGCAGUGCUCAUGAAGGGGAUGCAGUGUCCCACAAGGUGGAUGCAGUAUGUUUUGAUGGAGGAUGCAGGGCCCAUGAAGGUGGAUGCAGUGUCCCUGCAGUGCUUGCAUUGACCCCUUCAUUGUCUGCAAAAGUGGAUGCAGUAGUCAUGCAGUGGAUGCAGUGUCCCACAAGGUUUAAGCAGUAUGUUGUGACGGAGGAUGCAGUGCCCAUGAAGGUGGAUGCAGUGUUCCUGCAGUGGUUGCAGGGUCCCAAGCAUUGUGCUGGAAUGUGGAUGCCGGGGUCAUGCAGUG